rnacentral:rRNA from 2 species
AGUUGUGAUCAUACCAACACUAAUGCACCAGAUCUGAUCAGAACUCUGCAUAUAUGCAUGCUUGGGCGAGAGUAGUACUAGGAUGGGUGACCUCCUAGGAAGUCCUCGUGUUGCAACUA